CCCGCACAAGCGGUGGAGCAUGUGGUUUAAUUCGAAGCAACGCGAAGAACCUUACCAGGUCUUGCAUCCUCUGACAAUCCUAGAGAUAGGACGUCCCCUUCGGGGGCAGAGUGACAGGUGGUGCAAAAAGUCAGCUCGUGUCGUGAGAUGUUGGGUUAAGUCCCGCAACGAGCGCAACCCUUGAUCUUAGUUGCCAGCAUUCAGUUGGGCACUCUAAGGUGACUGCCGGUGACAACCGGAGGAAGGUGGGGAUGACGUCAAAUCAUCAUGCCCCUUAUGACCUGGGCUACACACGUGCUACAAUGGACAGAACAAAGGGCGGGAAACCGCGAGGUUAAG
rnacentral:rRNA from 2 species